UUUCAAGUUGUGAGAAAAGAGAUGUUUCUUGAUGCUUCUUUUGUAGCUCUUCAACUUCCUGCUCCCAGCAAGACAAAGAGAAAAUCAACAAAAAGACACACACAAGAAAAGCCUCUGAAAGUGAGGACUGGAGUCAUAGGUCAUGUUUAUGACUUUGAUGUGGCACAGACAGUGGAGCAGCAGCAGAGAGAAGCCACCAACUGACUGGAGCCUCUGUCUGCGGACAAAGAGCGUCUCCUCUGCCUCCUG